AUUGAACGCUGGCGGCAGGCCUAACACAUGCAAGUCGAGCGAGCGGCGGACGGGUGAGUAAUGUAUGGGGACUGCCCGAUAGAGGGGGAGAACCACUGGAAACGGUGGCUAAUACCGCAUACUGUCUGAUAACCCCUAUGGGAUUAGCUAGUAGGUAAGGUAAUGGCUUACAUAGGCGACGAACCGUAGCUGGUCUGAGAGGAUGAUCAGCCAAACUGGGACUGAGACACGGCCCAGACUCCUACGGAGGCAGCAGUGGGGAAUAUUGCACAAUGGGCGAAAGCCUGAUGCAGCCAUGCCGCGUGUAUGAAGAAGGCCCUAGGGUUGUAAAGUACUUUCAGUCGGGAGGCGUUACCGACAGAAGAAGCACCGGCUAACUACGUGCCAGCAGCCGCGGUAAUUC
rnacentral:rRNA from 1 species